rnacentral:rRNA from 1 species
AACUCCCAAACCCAAUGUGAACCAUACCAAACUGUUGCCUCGGCGGGGUCACGCCCCGGGUGCGUCGCAGCCCCGGAACCAGGCGCCCGCCGGAGGGACCAACCAAACUCUUUUCUGUAGUCCCCUCGCGGACGUUAUUUCUUACAGCUCUGAGCAAAAAUUCAAAAUGAAUCAAAACUUUCAACAACGGAUCUCUUGGUUCUGGCAUCGAUGAAGAACGCAGCGAAAUGCGAUAAGUAAUGUGAAUUGCAGAAUUCAGUGAAUCAUCGAAUCUUUGAACGCACAUUGCGCCCGCCAGUAUUCUGGCGGGCAUGCCUGUCCGAGCGUCAUUUCAACCCUCGAACCCCUCCGGGGGGUCGGCGUUGGGGACCUCGGGAGCCCCUAAGACGGGAUCCCGGCCCCGAAAUACAGUGGCGGUCUCGCCGCAUCCUCUCCUGCGCAGUAGUGUGCACAACUCGCACCGGGAGCGCGGCGCGUCCACGUCCGUAAAACACCCAACUUCUGAAAUGUUGACCUCGGAUCAGGUAAGAAUACCCGC